ACCCAUCUGACGAGUCCCAGAGCGGACGAAACGCGUGUCCUGAAU
rnacentral:hammerhead_ribozyme from 1 species